UUGGAUGUGAUGAUAAUUUCCCCAGGUGAUCGAAACUGAUGAUACUGUGCGAAUUUUGUUUCUCUUUUGAGAAAUCAAGCCAAAUUAUCUGAUCCAU